rnacentral:piRNA from 1 species
UUGAAGUUUUGUUAAUUUCAG